AGUGCGCGUUUCUGUAGCAAUACAGAAAUGGCGCACGGCGCACGGGUACGUAACACGUGGGUAAUCUGCCCUCUGAUGGGGAAUAACCCGCCGAAAGGCGGGCUAAUUCCGCAUAACAUUCCUUGGACUCCGGUUCGGGGAUUCAAAGGCGUAAGUCGUCGGAGGUGGAGCCCGCGCACGAUUAGCUAGUUGGUAGGGUAACGGCCUACCAAGGCUUUGAUCGUUAGCUGGUCUGAGAGGAUGGCCAGCCACACUGGAACUGAGACACGGUCCAGACUCCUACGGGAGGCAGCAGUGGGGAAUCUUGCACAAUGGGCGAAAGCCUGAUGCAGCGACGCCGCGUGGGGGAUGAAGCUUCUCGGAGUGUAAACCCCUUUCGACCCGGACGAAUGCCCCGCAAGGGGACUGACGGUACGGGUAUAAGAAGCCCCGGCUAACUACGUGCCAGCAGCCGCGGUAAGACGUAGGGGGCCAGCGUUGUUCGGAAUUACUGGGUGUAAAGGGUUCGUAGGCGGUGUGGCAAGUUGGGAGUGAAAUCUCUGGGCUCAACUCAGAGGCUGCUUCCAAAACUGCUGUGCUGGAGUGUGGGAGAGGCGCGUGGAAUUGCAGGUGUAGCGGUGAAAUGCGUAGAUAUCUGCAGGAACACCCGUGGCGAAAGCGGCGCGCUGGACCACUACUGACGCUGAGGAACGAAAGCUAGGGGAGCAAACAGGAUUAGAUACCCUGGUAGUCCUAGCCCUAAACGAUCAGGACUUGGGGUGCCACCCGUUCGGGUGUCGUCCCGGAGCUAACGCGUUAAGUCCUGCACCUGGGGAGUACGGUCGCAAGACUGAAACUCAAAGGAAUUGACGGGGGCCCG
rnacentral:rRNA from 1 species